GACGAACGCUGGCGGCGUGCCUAAUACGUGCAAGUCGAGCGGACUUGAAGGAGCUUGCUCCGGAUAGUCAGCGGCGGACGGGUGAGUAACACGUGGGCAACCUGCCUGUAAGACUGGGAUAACUUCGGGAAACCGGAGCUAAUACCGGAUACGUUCUUUUCUCGCAUGAGAGAAGAUGGAAAGACGGUUUCGGCUGUCACUUACAGAUGGGCCCGCGGCGCAUUAGCGAGUUGGUGGGGUAAUGGCCCACCAAGGCGACGAUGCGUAGCCGACCUGAGCGGGUGAUCGGCCACACUGGGACUGAGACACGGCCCAGACUCCUACGGGAGGCAGCAGUAGGGAAUCUUCCGCAAUGGUCGAAAGUCUGACGGAGCAACGCCGCGUGAGUGAAGAAGGUUUUCGGAUCGUAAAACUCUGUUGUCAGGGAAGAACAAGUACCAUAGUAACUGAUGGUACCUUGACGGUACCUGACCAGAAAGCCACGGCUAACUACGUGCCAGCAGCCGCGGUAAGA
rnacentral:rRNA from 1 species